rnacentral:rRNA from 1 species
CAGUCGCCACGGGAAAACCGAGGUCCCGAGCGUUAUUCGGAAUCACUGGGCUUAAAGCGCGUGUAGGCGGGCCGGCACGUCGGUCGCUGAAAUCCCCCGGCUCAACCGGGGAAGGGGCGCCGAUACGACCGGCCUGGAGGGGAGUAGGGGGGCCUGGAACUUCCGGUGGAGCGGUGAAAUGCGUCGAGAUCGGAAGGAACGCCCGUGGCGAAAGCGAGGCCCUGGACUCCUGCUGACGCUGAGACGCGAAAGCCAGGGGAGCGAACGGGAUUAGAGACCCCUGUAGUCCCUGUCUUUUAUA